CCUACGGGAGGCAGCAGUGGGGAAUAUUGGGCAAUGGGCGCAAGCCUGACCCAGCAACGCCGCGUGAAGGCAGAAGGCUUUCGGGUUGUAAACUUCUUUUCUCAGGGACGAAGCAAGUGACGGUACCUGAGGAAUAAGCCACGGGUAACUACGUGCCAGCAGCCGCGGUAAUACGUAGGUGGCAAGCGUUAUCCGGAGUUACUGGGGGGAAAGGGCGUGUAGGCGGGAAAGCAAGUCAGAUGUGAAAACCCUGGGCUCAACCUGUGGCCUGCAUUUGAAACUGUUUUUCUUGAGUACUGGAGAGGCAGACGGAAUGCCUGGUGUAGGGGUGAAAUGCGUAGAUAUUAGGAGGAACACCAGUGGCGAAGGCGGUCUGCUGGACCGCAACUGACGCUGAGGCGCGAAAGCGUGGGGAGCAAACAGGAUUAGAUACCCGAGUAGUC
rnacentral:rRNA from 1 species